rnacentral:rRNA from 1 species
UACACACCGCCCGUCACACCAUGGAGUGGGUUUCACCAGAAGCCGGUAGCCUAACCGCAAGGGGGGCGCUGACCACGGUGGACGAUUCAUGACUGGGGUG